rnacentral:lncRNA from 1 species
AUGUUUGGUAGCACAGAGGGUGAGCCUGAGUGGGCCGGGAGUGGGUGGGUGUUCUCUGUCUACUGUUGUGCCGGUACCUGCGGCCUCUGUGACCAUAGGAUGGAGGCCAUUGGUUGUGAUACCGUUUCACAUUUGAGGUCAUCUGAGGUCACUGCUAUUUCUCAAGAGAAGAGCCCAGAAGAAGAAAGAAUGGCUGUUGGACUUUUUAAAGCCAUGUACCAGGUUAGUUGGUGUUUUCUCUUUCCUGAAAUAUAUUACUGCUUUUCAAAACAAGCAGACAUCAACUUUUCUUUUGCUGAAACUUUUCUGUCAAGUAUGUCAUUUCUUAAACCUCUCCACUGAGAUUCCGGUCUAAUUCAGGAUGAAAGAAUGGCUUGCAAGGGCAUAUAUAAUCUCCCUGAAUAUCUCUCUUGACCUCAUUUAAUUUCUGUCCCCCUGUGUGAAACUCAGUCAGUUCCUUGUAGUGAAUUGAAUUGGGGGGGUACUGGAAUUUGAACCCAGGGCCUUCACAUGGAGCUACACCCCUAACCCUUUUUAUUAUUUUGUAUUUUGAGACAGGGUCUUGCUUAGUCACUAAAUUCUCCAGGCAGGGCUUUGAAUUUGUGAUCUUCCUGCAUCAGCCUCCUAAAGUGCUGGGAUGACAGGAAUGCACCACUACACCUGGCUGAAUUGAAUAUAUUCUUAAUGUAUGGUCUUAAACUUGCUGUUCCCUCCUCCUGACAUAGUCCCUCAGAC